UACGUAGGGUGCGAGCGUUGUCCGGAAUUAUUGGGCGUAAAGAGCUUGUAGGUGGUUUGUCGCGUCUGCUGUGAAAAUCCGAGGCUCAACCUCGGACUUGCAGUGGGUACGGGCAGACUAGAGUGUGGUAGGGGAGACUGGAAUUCCUGGUGUAGCGGUGGAAUGCGCAGAUAUCAGGAGGAACACCGAUGGCGAAGGCAGGUCUCUGGGCCAUUACUGACACUGAGAA
rnacentral:rRNA from 1 species